CAAGAGAUUAUCCAAGUUAGCAAGCAAUUUAGCAAAUUAGUGUAGAAUUUCAGUAAGCAUCCAGAUUAAAUUAGUGUGGAAUUCUGUAUUAGAACUGUGGUAAGAAAACUUUUUAUAUCCCCAGAGUUUUGACCCUUGGAAGGAUUACCUAUUGUCAUGAGAAUACAGCUAAGACAAUGUUGUGUCCUUGUCAAACAUCUGCAUGAGCAAGGGACAACAGUGGCUCCUGUUAGUGUUCUGUCAUUGGUUUCUAUAUUACUCUGAUUGAAACGCUGUGAUUAACAGGUCUGUGAGUUGAUAUUUCACUGCGUAAAAAACAGGAUGCAUCUGGUAUCACCUGUGCUGAGAUAGGUCUUUGGCAACAGUCUUUUUGUCUUUUUCAGAGGUAAACACAGAUGAAAAUGGAUCACAUGGAUGAAAUUGUCUGUGACACCUGAGUGAGCUAGCUGCAGGUUCUGAAAUCAUCUCUACUGAAGAACGAGAGAGGGGAAAGAUUCAUAUUGAGAUUAAGACAUUGUCUCCCUCUGUCACAAAGGUUGUUAAAUAUUAUUGAUGAAAUGUACUUUUGGAUCCCUCAAAAUAAUGUUAAUUUCAAAUUCCUAAAGCAACUAAAGUUCAUAGUAGGUAUGCAAUAAGCCUGGGGUUUGAGGUGAUAGUUACUUAUUUUCAAACAAGAUAGAUACUCAUAUAUAGACCAGAAUUUACAAUGUGUGAUGUAAUACUUGUGUCUGUAUUGCAUGUCAUUACUGAUGGCAAUGAAACAACUUUGGAUACCUCUGCAGUACAAAGGAAAAAAUUACUAUUAUGCCUUCUAUAGGUGUGUAAUAAGAACAGAUUUCAGAUUUAAAAAUCCCCAAACAAAAUACUCCAACAAACACUCCUAAACUUUUUGGAGACAAUGGACUGAAAACCUGGGAUUUUUCUUACAAAAAUGAGGGAGUUUUAUUUUGUAGAUUCAAGGCUUUAUGGUGAUUUUGAAUCAUAUUUAAAAUAGUCACAUCUUGUGUCCACUGUUAAACAGGACCCCAGAUCAGGAGACAGCUGUGAUACAACAGGCUGCCUGGAAAGAGCUUUAUCUUCAGAGUAUCUACCCUCAAGGGAGAAUAUCUCACACCUGUCACUCAGUCCAGAAUUUAAUGUAAGCUUAAAGAAGGCUUUGGGGAAACCCAUUUGCAGUAAAAGAACCUCCAGGUAUCCAGAGGUUCCUGCUACAAAUGACAGGCUGAUCUACUCGACACCAGGACCUUCAAAGUGUGGUCUGACCAAGCAAACCAAUUCUGAAAGAUCCACGAAGGACAAUGCCUAA
rnacentral:lncRNA from 1 species